UAUAUAUAAAGAAAGAUAAUACGACAUGAUUCAUUAGUUACAUUUUUUUUCUGAAAUUUGAUUUUAUUAAAUAAAACCAAUUACAAAAGCUACUAAAUCGAUAGAGGUCGAGGACACCAUUCUUCUUAGUGACCAACAGCAAGAAACAGAACCCCCCCCUUAAGACGUAAACUAAUUGUUUAUGGGAUAAUGACAGCCUCCCUACACAAUCACCUGCCCUACACAAUUGAUAUCAUAUAGCAACCAGCUCAGUGAACAAAAUCUAUACAUCAGAAUAAGGCAAAGAAAAACCCUAUACACUGAUCCACAAACCCAGUUAUGUAUGAACAAAAAGAACAUAGUUGUAUCAGCAAGCCCCCACAACAUCGCCAUACUAGAAAGCAAGGAGACAAAACACAUCAAUACACAAUCAAACCCAGAAUUGUCAUACAUACUCCACAUCACAGCCCUAACCCCUAGAGAUACUCAUACAUGCAUUGAUAGACAAACUAGGAGAAAUGAUAACCAUACCAUAAAACUUGAAACGUUAAAAAUACUUAAUUAAUCUCGCAUCGCCCUAACAAGUCCUCAGCUCUAUUAAUUCCUUCUUUCGCCAACAAGUCUACUUCUUGGUUCCCUUCUCUAUAUAUAUGGUUGACUUCCCAUCCCACUAACUUUUUCUUGUAUGCUUUAACUUGCAGAAUCCAUUUCCUAAGCCUCCAUGGAGCACUAUUAAGCAUAUUAACCCAUUUAAUAGCAUUCCAUGAAUCACUCUCCACAACCAAGUGCUUACUCAUGGCCUAAACCAAAUAUGAGAAUAGAGCAAAAGCCUCCUUUAUAACUUUCAACUCAACAAGACUAGAAUCCUCUAUGCCUAUAGACUUUGAAAAUCUAAUAAACGCAUUCCCUUUUUCAUCUCCCUAGAAUCCAUCUAUCCUUGUUUCCCUGAGGUACCCAUUAGUAACCUUAUCCACAUUGAAUUUAACCUCCCCUAGCAUUGGUUUUUCUCUCAUAGUGAUAGGUCUUGACACUUUAUCAUUUUUCUUCCUUUGAACCACACUUAGUUACUUGUAGAUUUAAAAAAUUAAGACAUAGUCCAAGGCCAUCUAACAUUAACCCACAUAGCCACCCUAAGCUUAAUUAGCUCCCAUAUCUACCCACCAUCCCAUUCUUUGUAUUAAAAACCACCUUAUUCCUACUCAGCCAAAUAGUUCAAGAUAUCAUGAAAAUUGCCAUUUUUCAAACCUUUUCAUCCUUUCCAACAUCCUAGUCAAGUUCCAAACCACCAUCAGCCUUUUAAAAUUCUUAGGUAUAACCCAUGACAUGCUCCAUUCUCUGAACCAGGCACACCUCAACACCCACACAUAUCUACAAGUAAGGAAAGCAUAUUCAAUGGUCUCGAUCUCACCUUUACACAAAGGGCAUAAAGCAUCCUCAAUAUCCAACAUACCUCAUCCGGCAAGUUCACCUUUGACCACUACUUUAUUGUGCAUGAGUUGCCACACAAACGCCUCUAUUUUAUGAGGUUUUAACUCCUUCCAAACCCACUUUUACACUCUAUCCUUCGAGGCCCCAUUCCCACCCACCUCUUUGCAAAAAGAUUUUGCCGUGUAAGUUCCAUUAAUAGUUUUUUUCCACACAAGUUCAUCCUCAAUCUCUUAACAAUGAACAAAAUCCCCAAUCACACCUCUAAACUCCUUAUAUUGCUUUUCUUCCCACCCAAAAAUUUGUCUCCUAAAUUCUACCUUCCAUUCCUACAACCAAUUAACCAAACAAAAAAAAAAGCCAUUCCCCAACCUCUUUUACCUUACAAUUUUUAUUCCUAGCUAAAGAAAACAUUUUAGGAAAGGCUUCCCUAAGGCAAACACCCUUCACCCAUUCAAAGAACAACGACAUGGACUGCCAACAACAGUAGGCUAAACAAGAAUCUAAUCACAGCAAAUCCACAGAAUAGCCAAAAGGACAUGUAAUGUCGAAUGAGCAACAAAAGAAAUUAGCAUCACAGGCUCUGAUAGUGUGAAUGUAGAUAAGCAUAACAAAAAGUCAGAUGCACAAUUUCAAAGCAAUUUUCUGGCAAAAACAUUCGCAAGAGACAAUGUAGAAAAAUAGAACAUUAGGGAGAUUUUAAUAUAAUAGGGCAUUACCAGUAAAAUUUGCAAACAUGGUGAAAGAAUAGACUUGUGCUUCAGAGCAGGUAGAAGAACAGCUGGUAGACGUUGUGCGAGCCAAGGAAUUGAGCAGCCAACCUUAUCUCUACCUUGCAUUUAUUUUUUU
rnacentral:lncRNA from 1 species